UACGUAGGGUGCAAGCGUUGUCCGGAAUUAUUGGGCGUAAAGAGCUCGUAGGCGGUCUGUCGCGUCGGCUGUGAAAACUCGGGGCUCAACCCCGAGCCUGCAGUCGAUACGGGCAGACUAGAGUGCUGUAGGGGAGACUGGAAUUCCUGGUGUAGCGGUGAAAUGCGUAGAUAUCUGGAGGAACACCGGUGGCGAAGGCGGCAUCCUGGACCGGUAUUGACGCUGAUGCGCGAAAGCCAGGGGAGCAAACGGG
rnacentral:rRNA from 1 species